UAGCGUCCUGUCCAGGGUGUACCCCCCUCGCGCUGGGACGGGACCCUGGAUUGGACGAACUGGGAAUGAAACGGGAGGAUGGGUUCGGUCUCCGUGUUGUGGCAGUCAGUGAGCGGACGUUGAGCAGUGCUCCCUGCAGAAGAAUAGUUGCAGUCGCUCAGUCAAGCAAGCUCUGUCACUUCAGCUGUAUGGUCUAACCCUCCCCCCCCCCGUCUCAGGUACAUAUUGGACCUGUCCAGGGAGCAGGAGACGGGAUUCGCCGAGCGGGUGGCUGACAUCGCCAGGGAGGCGGGGUUUGAACCGGCAGGGCAGAAGAGUGAUGUCAUCGCCACGUUCCGCCUCCGUGACCCCGAGCCCGCGCGCGGGAUGUGAUGGCGGUCGCCUGCUGGGCUCGGACGCCAACCAGGAGAGGAGUCCACACACUGAAUUUCCUUUUGCCUUUGAACGGACCCCACUGCCCCACCUGGUGGGCACAGGUUUUCAAUAUCCCCUGCUGGAAAAGUGUAGAAUCGAUUUUCUAACACGGCCGGGUUUCAUCCCCCUACGAGCAUGAAAAAACUGGUAAAUAAACAACUCUCUACGGCC